UACGUAGGGGGCAAGCGUUGUCCGGAAUCAUUGGGCGUAAAGAGCGCGUAGGCGGCCCUGUAAGUCCGCUGUGAAAGUCAAGGGCUCAACCCUUGAAUGCCGGUGGAUACUGCAGGGCUAGAGUCCGGAAGAGGCGAGUGGAAUUCCUGGUGUAGCGGUGAAAUGCGCAGAUAUCAGGAGGAACACCGAUGGCGAAGGCAGCCUUCUGGGCCAACACUGACGCUCAUGCACGAAAGCGUGGGGAGCAAACAGG
rnacentral:rRNA from 1 species